rnacentral:lncRNA from 1 species
GGGGAAGAGUAUUUUUUGUUUUUCUUUUUGGUUCACAAAGAACCUCAUAAGAUUGGUGUAGACUUCUGUCUCAUGAGAUGUUGUCCACACUGCCUGCGGAGCCUUGAAAACAAUAUAAGGGUCAACGAACCCAAUACUAUUGUCAUUUCUGAUUCUGAUCUCUCUCAUUUGGUGCCUGCAUAUAUACAUACAAAUCCUAAGUGUGUAAGGAUUAUAUACAUGUAAUUAAAGAAGUUAGAAGUUUAAUAAAAAGAAAGAAAUACUUACAGACAAAAGCAGCUGACAAGAGAUUUGUCGAGAGCGUCGAGGUGACAUAAUUGGUGCAAUUCUCUGAACUGCACAUAUAUGAGGUCAUCUCCAUGGAAGUAGUGAUGUUGUCUAAUACGAACAGAAAUCCAAUUAUCUCCCUUUUAGACGCCUCAAUGCACCACUUGUUUAUUGCAAACAUUUGUGUGCCGAGCUUAUGUAAACGCUGAGGGUUGAAUAGACUUCUGCCCGGUUCAUAUCUUGCCCUCCAUUGAUCAACUACCUCAGCUUUUUCAAAUGUUUGACAUCCAAUAAUGGCGGCAAUGUCUUCAAUAUUUAAACCGCUCUGUCCAAAGUAAUGCUCAAGCGAAUCUAGCUCAGACAACGCU